rnacentral:rRNA from 1 species
UACGUAGGGUGCAAGCGUUGUCCGGAAUUAUUGGGCGUAAAGAGCUCGUAGGCGGUCUGUCGCGUCGAAUGUGAAAACCCGGGGCUCAACCCCGGGCCUGCAUUCGAUACGGGCAGACUAGAGUUCGGUAGGGGAGACUGGAAUUCCUGGUGUAGCGGUGAAAUGCGCAGAUAUCAGGAGGAACACCGGUGGCGAAGGCGGGGUCUCUGGGCAACUACUGACGCUGAGGAGCGAAAGCGUGGGGAGCGAACAGG